CACUGAGAUGGGGCAGCCCAAACCCCACAGAACCCCUGAAUUGUUACACAGGGGUGACACACACUGGGAUUUGGGACAGCCCAGACCCCACAGAAUCCCUGGGAUUGUUACACAGAGGUGACAAACACUGAGAUGGGACAGCCCAAACCCCACAGAAUCCCUGAAUUGUUACACAGGGGUGACAAACACUGGAUUUGGGACAUCCCAAACCCCACAGAAUCCCUGGAUUGUCACACAGGGGUGACAAACACUGAGAUGGGACAGCCCAAACCCCACAGAAUCCUUGGAUUGUUACACAAGGGUGACCCACACUGGAUUUGGGACAUCCCAAACCCCACAGAAUCCCUGAAUUGUUACACAAGGGUGACAAACACUGGGCUGGCACAUCCCAGACCCCACAGAAUCCCUGGAAUCCCUGAAUUGUUACAAAAGGGUGACAAACACUGAGAUGGGACAGCCCAGACCCCACAGAAUCCCUGGAUUGUUACACAGGGGUGACAAACACUGAGAUGGGACAUCCCAGACCCCACAGAAUCCCUGGAAUCACUGAAUUGUUACACAAGGGUGACANCAGAGCCGUGCCAGGAGCGAGCCGUGCCAAUCGGGCACAGAGCAAACCCAACCGCAGCCCCGAAGGUUCGGAUCCCAAUUUCCCCAUUCCCGACAUCCCGAGGCAGCGCGGGGCGGUGCUGACCCCUAGCGAGGGAUGCCUGGGAAAAGGGAAAUUCCUGGGAUAAAUCUCCCGUCCCACCGCGCUCCAUUCCCUGCCCCUCCUGCCCAAGGCUCCUCGGGCACGGGCACAGAGCAGCUUCUGAGAAACUGGCACAAGAAAUCCCCGAUUUUGAGAUAUUUUCAAUAAAUGUGUCCCCAUGAGGAUCA
rnacentral:lncRNA from 1 species